rnacentral:rRNA from 1 species
UACGUAGGGGCCUAGCGUUGUCCGGAUUUAUUGGGCGUAAAGAGCUCGUAGGCGGUUUGGUGAGUCGGGUGUGAAAUCUCCACGCUCAACGUGGAGGAGCCACCCGAUACUGCCAUGACUGGAGUCCGGUAGGGGAGUGUGGAAUUCCCGGUGUAGCGGUGAAAUGCGCAGAUAUCGGGAGGAACACCAGUAGCGAAGGCGGCGAUCUGGGAAGAUACUGACGCUGAGGUGCGAAAGCGUGGGGAGCAAACAGG